UGGGAGUUCGUGUAGAAGCGAGUCUGCUCAACAGCUUGUUAUUUGGUGGAUUGUGGCAGUAAAUCGGGCGAGUGGGGAACUGGGCGCAGGAACUGCCGCCGCGGCCGGGAGCGGUGCUGCCCGGACGGGGGCCCACGGGGGUCAGCGGGGCGGAGGACCCGGGGGCUGACAGCGCGCACUUGGCCCGCAGUCGCGACGGAGGAGCGAGCUCUCGUGGAGCUGGAACCCCACAGAUCGCCAGUAAAAAUGAAGGCGGCGGAUGAGCCUGCCUACCUGACAGUGGGAACUGACGUCAGUGCCAAGUACCGAGGUGCCUUCUGUGAGGCAAAAAUUAAGACUGUGAAAAGGCUGGUAAAAGUUAAGGUACUCCUGAAACAGGAUAAUACUACACAAUUGGUGCAAGAUGACCAAGUAAAGGGUCCUUUAAGAGUUGGAGCUAUUGUUGAAACAAGGACAUCUGAUGGAUCCUUUCAGGAGGCUAUUAUCAGCAAGUUGACAGAUGCUAGUUGGUAUACUGUGGUGUUUGAUGAUGGUGAUGAGAGAACACUGAGACGCACCUCACUUUGCCUAAAAGGAGAGAGACAUUUUGCUGAGAGUGAGACACUUGACCAGCUUCCCUUAACAAAUCCAGAGCAUUUUGGAACUCCAGUAAUUGCAAAGAAGACAAACAGAGGAAGGAGGUCCUCUCUUCCUGUUAAUGAAGAUGAAAAGGAAGAAGAAAGUAGUGAGGAGGAAGAUGAAGAUAAGCGACGUCUCAAUGAUGAGUUAUUAGGAAAAGUUGUAAGUGUGGCAUCUACAUCUGAGAAGACUGAUUGGUAUCCUGCUUUGGUAAUAUCACCCAGCUGUAAUGAUGACAUCACAGUGAAAAAAGACCAGUGUUUAGUUCGAUCAUUUCUCGAUUCUAAAUUUUAUUCUAUAGCAAGAAAGGAUAUCAAGGAAGUAGAUAUUCUCAAUCUACCUGAAUCUGAGCUCUCUGCUAAACCAGGGCUGCAGAAAGCAAGCAUCUUCUUAAAAACUAGAAUUGUUCCUGAUAAUUGGAAAAUGGAUAUAAGUGAAAUUCUUGAAUCAUCCAGUAGUGAUGAUGAAGAUGGUCCAGCUGAAGAAAAUGAUGAAGAGAAGGAAAAGGAGGCCAAAAAGGAAGAGGAAGAGGUGCCUGAGGAAGAACUUGAUCCUGAAGAGAGGGACAACUUCCUCCAACAGCUUUAUAAGUUUAUGGAAGACAGAGGUACUCCAAUCAACAAACCACCUGUGUUGGGCUAUAAAGAUCUCAAUCUCUUCAAACUCUUUAGACUGGUUUAUCAUCAAGGUGGAUGUGACAAUAUUGAUAGUGGUGCUGUAUGGAAGCAAAUUUAUAUGGACCUUGGCAUUCCUAUUUUGAAUUCAGCUGCUUCCUACAAUGUAAAAACUGCUUAUAGAAAGUAUCUCUAUGGUUUUGAGGAGUACUGCCGUUCUGCAAAUAUUCAGUUCAGAACUGUCCACCACCAUGAACCAAAAGUAAAAGAAGAAAAAAAAGACUUAGAAGAAUCAAUGGAAGAGGCUUUAAAAGUAGAUCAAGAAAUGCCUUUAGUGGAAGUGAAGAGUGAACCUGAGGAAAAUAUUGAUUCAAACAGUGAAAGUGAAAGAGAAGAAAUAGAAUUAAAAUCUCCAAGAGGACGAAGGAGACUAGCUCGAGACGCAAAUUCUAUUAAAAAGGAAAUUGAAGAAGAGAAAACGGAAGACAAAUUAAAAGACAAUGAUAUUGAAAAUAAGGAUGUAGUUGAUGACUAUGAAACUGCAGAGAAAAAAGAAAAUGAGCUACUAUUGGGAAGAAAAACCACACCAAAGCCGAAGGAGAAGAAAAUUAAAAAGCAGGAGGAUUCUGAUAAAGACUCAGAUGAAGAGGAAGAGAAAAGCCAAGAGAGGGAAGAAACUGAAAGCAAAUGUGACUCUGAAGGGGAGGAAGAUGAGGAAGACAUGGAACCCUGCCUAACAGGAACCAAAGUGAAAGUAAAAUAUGGCCGAGGGAAAACGCAGAAAAUCUAUGAAGCUAGUAUUAAAAGCACUGAAAUUGAUGAUGGAGAAGUUUUAUACUUGGUACAUUACUAUGGAUGGAAUGUCAGGUAUGAUGAAUGGGUGAAGGCUGACAGGAUAAUCUGGCCUUUGGACAAAGGUGGACCAAAGAAAAAACAGAAGAAAAAAGCAAAAAAUAAAGAAGACAGUGAAAAGGAUGAAAAGAGGGAUGAGGAGAGGCAGAAGUCAAAACGAGGACGGCCUCCUUUAAAAUCUACACUUUCAUCAAACAUGCCAUAUGGUUUGUCUAAGCCUCCAAACACUGAAGGAAAAUCAGGUACCAGAAGUGCUCGCAGCAAUAUGCCAGACAGCUCACCUCUGUCAAAUGGAAUGGAAGACUCUUGCUCAUCUGAUAGUGAAACAGAAGACCUUUUAGAAAAGAAUUUGAUGAAUGAAGAACUUUCUCCUGAUAUUAAAGAACUAGAAAAAAAUGAGAAUUUAAAUGAUGAUAAACUAGAUGAAGAAAAUCCAAAGAUUGCUGCACAUAUUUUAAAAGAAAAUGAAAGGACGCAAAUGCAGCCUUUAGAAACACUGAAUUUAGAAGUUGGAGAGAAUGAACAAAUAGUACAGAUUUUUGGAAAUAAAGUGGAACAUGUAGAAGAAGUUAAGAAAGAAGCUGAAAAGUCUCCCAAAGGAAAGGGAAGACGAAGCAAAACAAAAGAUCUUUCUUUAGAACUUAUAAAGAUUUCAUCGUUUAGCCAAGAUGAAGCAGGAAGUGAACCUCAUAUAGAAGCUCAAAGUCUAGAAUUUUCUUCGUUAGACAGUAAAAACUUUUCUUCUACUACCGAAGAUGACACUGACCAAUGUGCGAAAGAAAAAAAGCUGAAACGGAAAAUACUGGGACAGUCAUCACCAGAGAAAAAAAUAAGAAUUGAGAAUGGAAUGGAAAUGACAAACAGCAUCUCUCAAGAAAAGACCAGUGACUGUGUUGCAUCUGAGGGAAUGAAAAAUUUAAAUUUUGAACAACAUUUUGAAAUAGAAAAUGAAGGAAUGCCAUCAUUAAUUGCAGAGUCAAGCCAACGCAUUCAAGAAUUAACUAGUGAAAAAUUUGACAGUCCGGCUGAAGAAACUGUAAAUACUCCACUGAAAGAAGAGGAGGAUGCAAUGCCUCUGAUUGGGCCUGAGACUCUGGUUUGCCAUGAGGUCGAUUUGGAUGAUCUGGAUGAGAAGGAGAAGAGCAGCAUUGAAGAUGUGGUGGUGGAAAGCUCUGAGUCUAACUCUCUUGUUUCUGUGCCGCCAGCCCUCCCUCCCGUAGUACAGCAUAGUUUUUCAGUGGCUUCACCACUAACCCUCAGCCAGGAUGAGUCUCGGAGUAUAAAAAGUGAGAGUGACAUAACCAUUGAAGUUGAGAGCAUUGCUGAAGAAUCUCAAGAAGGUCUCUGUGAGAGGGAAUCAGCAAACGGGUUUGAAGCUAGUGUUGCCUCCAGUACCUGUAGUCUGAUUGUUCAAGAAAGAGAGAACAGAGAGAAGGGUCAGAAAAGGCCAAGUGAGGGAAAUAGUGGGUUAGUGGCAAAAAAGCAAAAGCGUACCCCAAAGCGAACGAGUGCUGUAGCCAAAAGUGAAAAGAACGGAACAGGACAAAGCAGUGAUAGUGAAGAUCUUCCUGUCCUAGACAAUUCAAGUAAAUGUACACCAGUAAAGCAUCUUAGUGUGUCUAAGCCACAGAAGCUUGCACGAUCUCCUGCAAGAAUUUCCCCUCACAUCAAAGAUGGAGAAAAAGAUAAACACAGGGAAAAACAUCCAAAUUCAUCCCCUAGGACAUAUAAAUGGAGCUUUCAACUCAAUGAAUUAGAUAAUAUGAACAGUACAGAGCGAAUCUCUUUUCUCCAAGAAAAAUUACAGGAAAUCAGAAAAUAUUACAUGUCUUUGAAGUCUGAAGUUGCAACCAUAGACAGGAGGAGAAAAAGAUUAAAAAAGAAAGACAGAGAAGCUGAAACUCUUAUCCUCUUGGCUUCCUGAAAGCUGGCAACUAAUAAGCUUAUGCUCAUUCUUGGGAGGAGACUGAAGGAUUCCUCUGGAGAAGCUGGUCAACCCGAGGAACGAACUAACACAGAUACCAACAUUUAAAGGUUCCUGAACCAAAAAGCAAGAUCCUUGCCAAUCACUACCUAUGUAUUGCCCAUCAUUGAAAAGCUCCUCGUAUUUGCACACAGCUUCCAGUUAGCUUUUUUUGCUCCCUUCUUAAAUAUGGGAGCCACAAGACCGGACAGGGAAGGCUCUACAAAAAAGUUAGAAACCAAAGUAGAAAAAGAAUAAAAAGGAACUUCUAAAGAACAAUGUACCAUACAAAACACCAAACUAAAAUUACUAUACAGAGAUACAGGAAAGAUACUACAGUCUUGAAACAAAAAUAUGAUAGUAUUGAUGCAAUUCAGAGACCAGGAAGGACCUCUCAAAAAUUAAAAAUAUGAUAGCAGGAAUUUUAAAAAUGUAAUUAGAAGAGAUAUCAAAGCUAAAGAAAUCCCAGUAGAUGGUCAAAAAGAUAAUAGGAAAAAAUAACUAAGAGAAGCAUAGGAUCUGUUGAGAUCUAACUUCUGAAUCACAGAAUUUCUAGAAAAAGAGCACUGAAUAAACACAGGAGAAAGUUUUCAUCAAGUAGUAUUUUAAGAAAAAUUUCCAGAAAUAAAGGAUAUGAAUUAGAAGAUUGAAAGGACUCUCACUGUAACAUCUCUAAAGAAUGGGGGAGAAAAAUCACACCAAAGCACAUUGUGAAAUUUCAGAACGCUAUGGAUAACAAGAUUCUAAAAAUUUACCAUGUAAAGAAAGGCGUAUCUAAAAAGUAGGUGUCAGGACACCAUCAAGUUUCUCAUGUCAGAUUUCUCAGUGGUAGCACUGGAAACUAGAAGCCAAACUAGAAAGUUCAGACAACAUAGGAUCCACAAAACAAGGAAUCCCACUUAGCAAAGCAAUAAAGAAAAUGUCAAGUUGAUGAAUGGAAGCGAUAGGAUGACCACUGCAUAGCAGGCCUAGAGAGCCAACUAUUCCAGGAAUAGGAUGGACAGGAGGGAAGGCCUCCAGAAGAGCUAGCUCUUAAAAAGACAAAAAAAGUGUCUCAUGCAGGAGCCUCCAUGUCAUCUGCUUCGUCAGACACUGGGAUGAGUCCCUCAUCAUCAUCUCCCCCACAAAAUGUACUUGCUGUAGAAUGCAGGUGAUAAACGUUUUUCUCUGCCUUCCCAGCAGUUUGCUGCCAUGGACAUAAAUCCUAAAACCCUGAAAUACAACCACAGAAAGCACUCAACUGGUUUGACAUUGCUAAGUAUAUCCUGUAUACCUUUCCAGGCUGGACUGUAUCUAUUCCCCCCUCUUUUCUUUUUUUCUGUUGCAAAAAGUAAGCUGAUUAAUAAUUGAAGGUUAGGCAGCCUGCCAUAUUUGUCUAUAAUUUUUCCUCUUUAAUUUGUUUUCAUUUUUUGUGAAGAUAGAAAAAGGGCACUUAGCAAAUCUGAAUUUGUAUAAUAAAGCUUUCAACUGUUAUAGAAAUCAUAGACAAGCAAGUGCACAUGAAAAACAUCAAAAUAUUAUCCAGCUGAAUAGUGACUGCUGCACUUUCACUAAGAUGUAUUUGAACACUUGGUGAGUAGGGGGUUUAUGUUGUGGGUUUUUUUUUUUAUUGUUGUUGUUGUUUUUUAUUUUUGUGGAAGCACUUGCUAUUUAGAACUGCCAAAGUAUAUGUUCAGCAGUGUGCCCAGGCUUAAAGGUGUAAAUGGGACAAAAUAAAUUGUGAAAGGAAGUGUAGUUGACUGAAAACUACAGUUGUAAUAAGUCUUCCACUUUUUAUAGGAUUUUUGAGCACACAAUUAUGCAAAUAUUUUAAUGUUUAUUAAUGUUUACAGUGGAAUUGUGAAUAAGUUUUCAGUGGACUAUCUUAUCCCUUGACAAAAAUAUUUUGUCUUUUUUCUAUGUAAUUUCAGAGUUUUUAUUUUGUUACAAAAAGACAAAAAUGAAAUAUAUAACAACAAUGAAGUUAUUUAACAAGAUUUCUAAAGCUGAAAAUUUUGUGUAAAAUAAGGUAUUAUCUUGCAACUUGUUAAAUAUAUUUAUUCAGACAUUGGAUGUUGUAUUUUUAUGUAUUUUUUAAAAUAUUAAUAAAAUUGAAAAAAAGAAAAUUCUAGGUUAAUUCACUCUUUGGAUGACAAUAGCUCUCAGCUGUCCCUUUUACAGGAGGUUGCAUCCAGUAGCUUUGCCUGUGUUGAAGGGAGUCUGUCUCAGUCCUUCAAACAGUAUAGAACUAUAAAUGGGCAUCUGGAUCAUUAAAGUAUGUCCUCGUUUAGAAACUUUGGCAGUCCUAGUAUUUAAACUGUUUUGAGGAUCAAAUUUUUGGUUGCCCUUAAGAUACUUUGUCAUAGUUUUUUGUUUGCUAUACUGCCGAAUAAAUUUCUAUCUCCCAAAGUUGAGAUGCAACAACUAAGUAAAGCAACUAUGUAUGCUGUGUCUGUGAAUUGUUCCACAGACUGAUACGUUUUGUAAAUAAGUCCAAAAUCAUGUAUUUAAAGCAUUUUUGCCAUAUACAUUAUGUAAAAAGGUGAUUUUUUAAAAUCAGUUUUUAAAUUCAUGUUUGUACAUUGAAAGGGGUUUUUUUUAAACCUCCUUUUCUGUGUUUAAUAUGCUGUAGAGUAAUAACCUAGAUGCUCUAGACUGUAUAUCAGGAUCUGAUUUACAAGAGCAAAGUCAGAGCCAAACACUAGUGAUGGCAUAGCAUUACUGAAAUCAUUGUUUCUUAAUUUCAUUUUACCACAUUGUGAACUUGUGAUUCAGAUUCCUUCCAUUUUCGCAGAGAAUUAAAAAGAAAAAAGUACUCUUGUAAAAUGCACUUUUCUGUCUUUUCUUUGCAAAGCAGAAGUAUUUCAAUGUAAAAUAAAAAUGGAGCUCAGUGGGCAGUAUUAAGUAUUAAUAAAGGCCAUGUUUUAAACAUAG